CACACAACGGGGUUUCGGGGCUGUGGACCCUGUGCCAGGAAAGGAAGGGCGCAGCUCCUGCAAUGCGGAGCAGCCAGGGCAGUGGGCACCAGGCUUUAGCCUCCCUUUCUCACCCUACAGAGGGCAGGCCCUUCAGCUCCAUUCUCCUCCAAGGCUGCAGAGGGGGCAGGAAUUGGGGGUGACAGGAGAGCUGUAAGGUCUCCAGUGGGUCAUUCUGGGCCCAGAGAUGGGUGCUGAAGCUCCCACGCCUGCCUGUGAAAAUGGAGUCCUCUCUCACCUGGGAGAGCCAGGUGCUGCCCCGAGAAGGAUGCAUUUAUGGCUUCGUGAAGUCUUUCCUGACCCCCGAUGCUGCUGACUAUAGAGACAAAGUCUCACUAUGUUGCUCAGGCUGGUCUUGAACUCCUGGCCUCAAGCGAUCCUCCCACCUCAGCCUCCCAAAGUGUUGGGAUUAUAGACAUGAGCCACUGCACCUGGCCGACCUUGGGCAAGUUCUUAAACCCUUCAAAGCCUCAUUUUUCUCCAAUCACAAAAGGGAAAGAUGGUAAUAUUUUCCCCACCAAAUUCUUGUCGGAUGCCCUCACAGAAUUGAGAUUAUGUACGUAAAACACCAGGUGCCUAACCCGGCACAGAGCAGGAGGGCUAAGCGUGACAUCCAGCACGUGGUCAGUGGAAUCCAGUAUUCCUACCCACCUCUCUAGUCUCCCCUCCACCCCUCUCCCUUUCAGAGGCACCAAGCUGCUUGUGGUCUUGUCUAUUCCCACUCCCUGCCUGACUGAACAUUUUCUCCACCUCCUGAUCAUCAGCAGCAGAAACUGGCUGCUCUUCCUCCUGGGUAGACAGCCAGACUGUAUUUCCCAGCUGCCCCUGCAGUGAGAUGUGGCCAUCGGAGCCAGCAUUGGCCAAUGGACUCUGCAUGGGAGUGACGCAUGCUGCCUCCAGGCUUGUCCCUAAAACCUCCCACGUGUCCUCCGCCUGCUCUUCCCACCUCCAAGGAGCACGGCAAUUGUGGAAGACCCAGAUUAGUGAUGGCAGAACCAUAGAUGGGAGGAACCUGGGUCCCUGACUUAAAGUAUCAUGGAUUUGGAUGUUCCCUUAGUGAGAAAUAAACUUCCAUUGUGUUUAAGCCUUUA
rnacentral:lncRNA from 10 species